rnacentral:rRNA from 1 species
GUCGCAAGACCAAAGAGGGGGACCUUCGGGCCUCUUGCCAUCAGAUGUGCCCAGAUGGGAUUAGCUUGUUGGUGAGGUAACGGCUCACCAAGGCGACGAUCCCUAGCUGGUCUGAGAGGAUGACCAGCCACACUGGAACUGAGACACGGUCCAGACUCCUACGGGAGGCAGCAGUGGGGAAUAUUGCACAAUGGGCGCAAGCCUGAUGCAGCCAUGCCGCGUGUAUGAAGAAGGCCUUCGGGUUGUAAAGUACUUUCAGCGGGGAGGAAGGUGUUGUGGUUAAUAACCGCAGCAAUUGACGUUACCCGCAGAAGAAGCACCGGCUAACUCCGUGCCAGCAGCCGCGGUAAUACGGAGGGUGCAAGCGUUAAUCGGAAUUACUGGGCGUAAAGCGCACGCAGGCGGUCUGUCAAGUCGGAUGUGAAAUCCCCGGGCUCAACCUGGGAACUGCAUUCGAAACUGGCAGGCUUGAGUCUUGUAGAGGGGGGUAGAAUUCCAGGUGUAGCGGUGAAAUGCGUAGAGAUCUGGAGGAAUACCG